GCAUUACUGACGCUGAAGCUCGAAAGCGCGGGUAUCGAACAGGAUUAGAUACCCUGGUAGUCCGCGCGGUAAACGAUGGAUACCCGCUGUCCGGCCAAUAUGGUUGGGUGGCCAAGCGAAAGCAUUAAGUAUCCCACCUGGGGAGUACGCCGGCAACGGUGAAACUCAAAGGAAUUGACGGGGGCCCGCACAAGCGGAGGAACAUGUGGUUUAAUUCGAUGAUACGCGAGGAACCUUACCCGGGCUUGAACUGCAGGGGAACGAUACAGAGAUGUUGAGGUCCUUCGGGACUCCUGUGGAGGUGCUGCAUGGUUGUCGUCAGCUCGUGCCGUGAGGUGUCGGCUUAAGUGCCAUAACGAGCGCAACCCCUCUCGCCAGUUGCCAUCAGGUAGAGCUGGGCACUCUGGUGACACUGCCACCGUAAGGUGUGAGGAAGGUGGGGAUGACGUCAAAUCAGCACGGCCCUUACGUCCGGGGCUACACACGUGUUACAAUGGGGCAUACAGAGAGCCGGUCGUACGCAAGUGCGAUCCAAUCCUAAAAGUGCCUCGUAGUUCGGAUUGGGGUCUGCAACCCGACCCCAUGAAGCUGGAUUCGCUAG
rnacentral:rRNA from 1 species